UAGAUAUGUUCUUUAAACCUAAAGAAUUUGGCGGUGUUUUAGUCCUUUCAGAGGAGUUUGUCCCGUUAUCGAUAGUCCUCGUUUUAAUUGUUCUUAAUUUUGUUUUCAGUGUGUAUACCGCCGUUAUAAGUUUAUUUUAUUAGAUUAUUAAUUUACUGUUUUUUUAAGUAAAAUAUAUUUCAGGUCAAGGUGCAGUUAAUAAUUAAGUGGAGAUGAACUACAUUAUUAUGUUAAAUAUAUGAAUUUAAGAUUGUAAUUCUUUUUGAAAGUGGAUUUGUUAGUAAUUUUAUUGAUAAUGAUAUUUUGAUUUUGGCUCUAAGAUAAGUACACAUCGCCCGUCGCUCUA
rnacentral:rRNA from 1 species